rnacentral:rRNA from 1 species
AUUGAACGCUGGCGGCAUGCCUUACACAUGCAAGUCGAACGGCAGCACGGGAGCAAUCCUGGUGGCGAGUGGCGAACGGGUGAGUAAUGUAUCGGAACGUACCAUUGAGUGGGGAUAACGUAGCGAAAGUUACGCUAAUACCGCAUAUACCCUGAGGGGGAAAGCAGGGAUCGCAAGACCUUGUGCUCUUUGAGCGGCCGAUAUCAGAUUAGGUAGUUGGUGAGGUAAAGGCUCACCAAGCCGACGAUCUGUAGCUGGUCUGAGAGGACGACCAGCCACACUGGGACUGAGACACGGCCCAGACUCUACGGAGGCAGCAGUGGGGAAUUUUGGACAAUGGGCGCAAGCCUGAUCCAGCAAUGCCGCGUGCAGGAUGAAGG